GGGUUGUGAGGUUAAGCGACUAAGCGUACACGGUGGAUGCCCUGGCAGUCAGAGGCGAUGAAGGACGUGCUAAUCUGCGAUAAGCGUCGGUAAGGUGAUAUGAACCGUUAUAACCGGCGAUUUCCGAAUGGGGAAACCCAGUGUGAUUCGUCACACUAUCAUUAACUGAAUCCAUAGGUUAAUGAGGCGAACCGGGGGAACUGAAACAUCUAAGUACCCCGAGGAAAAGAAAUCAACCGAGAUUCCCCAGUAGCGGCGAGCGAACGGGGAGCAGCCCAGAGCCUGAAUCAGUGUGUGUGUUAGUGGAAGCGUCUGGAAAGGCGCGCGAUACAGGGUGACAGCCCCGUACACAAAAAUGCACAUAUUGUGAGCUCGAUGAGUAGGGCGGGACACGUGGUAUCCUGUCUGAAUAUGGGGGCCCAUCCUCCAAGGCUAAAUACUCCUGACUGACCGAUAGUGAACCAGUACCGUGAGGGAAAGGCGAAAAGAACCCCGGCGAGGGGAGUGAAAAAGAACCUGAAACCGUGUACGUACAAGCAGUGGGAGCACGCUUAGGCGUGUGACUGCGUACCUUUUGUAUAAUGGGUCAGCGACUUAUAUUCUGUAGCAAGGUUAACCGAAUAGGGGAGCCGAAGGGAAACCGAGUCUUAACUGGGCGUUAAGUUGCAGGGUAUAGACCCGAAACCCGGUGAUCUAGCCAUGGGCAGGUUGAAGGUUGGGUAACACUAACUGGAGGACCGAACCGACUAAUGUUGAAAAAUUAGCGGAUGACUUGUGGCUGGGGGUGAAAGGCCAAUCAAACCGGGAGAUAGCUGGUUCUCCCCGAAAGCUAUUUAGGUAGCGCCUCGUGAAUUCAUCUCCGGGGUAGAGCACUGUUUCGGCAAGGGGGUCAUCCCGACUUACCAACCCGAUGCAAACUGCGAAUACCGGAGAAUGUUAUCACGGGAGACACACGGCGGGUGCUAACGUCCGUCGUGAAGAGGGAAACAACCCAGACCGCCAGCUAAGGUCCCAAAGUCAUGGUUAAGUGGGAAACGAUGUGGGAAGGCCCAGACAGCCAGGAUGUUGGCUUAGAAGCAGCCAUCAUUUAAAGAAAGCGUAAUAGCUCACUGGUCGAGUCGGCCUGCGCGGAAGAUGUAACGGGGCUAAACCAUGCACCGAAGCUGCGGCAGCGACGCUUAUGCGUUGUUGGGUAGGGGAGCGUUCUGUAAGCCUGCGAAGGUGUGCUGUGAGGCAUGCUGGAGGUAUCAGAAGUGCGAAUGCUGACAUAAGUAACGAUAAAGCGGGUGAAAAGCCCGCUCGCCGGAAGACCAAGGGUUCCUGUCCAACGUUAAUCGGGCAGGGUGAGUCGACCCCUAAGGCGAGGCCGAAAGGCGUAGUCGAUGGGAAACAGGUUAAUAUUCCUGUACUUGGUGUUACUGCGAAGGGGGACGGAGAAGGCUAUGUUGGCCGGGCGACGGUUGUCCCGGUUUAAGCGUGUAGGCUGGUUUUCCAGGCAAAUCCGGAAAAUCAAGGCUGAGGCGUGAUGACGAGGCACUACGGUGCUGAAGCAACAAAUGCCCUGCUUCCAGGAAAAGCCUCUAAGCAUCAGGUAACAUCAAAUCGUACCCCAAACCGACACAGGUGGUCAGGUAGAGAAUACCAAGGCGCUUGAGAGAACUCGGGUGAAGGAACUAGGCAAAAUGGUGCCGUAACUUCGGGAGAAGGCACGCUGAUAUGUAGGUGAAGUCCCUUGCGGAUGGAGCUGAAAUCAGUCGAAGAUACCAGCUGGCUGCAACUGUUUAUUAAAAACACAGCACUGUGCAAACACGAAAGUGGACGUAUACGGUGUGACGCCUGCCCGGUGCCGGAAGGUUAAUUGAUGGGGUCAGCGCAAGCGAAGCUCUUGAUCGAAGCCCCGGUAAACGGCGGCCGUAACUAUAACGGUCCUAAGGUAGCGAAAUUCCUUGUCGGGUAAGUUCCGACCUGCACGAAUGGCGUAAUGAUGGCCAGGCUGUCUCCACCCGAGACUCAGUGAAAUUGAACUCGCUGUGAAGAUGCAGUGUACCCGCGGCAAGACGGAAAGACCCCGUGAACCUUUACUAUAGCUUGACACUGAACAUUGAGCCUUGAUGUGUAGGAUAGGUGGGAGGCUUUGAAGUGUGGACGCCAGUCUGCAUGGAGCCGGCCUUGAAAUACCACCCUUUAAUGUUUGAUGUUCUAACGUGGACCCGUGAUCCGGGUUGCGGACAGUGUCUGGUGGGUAGUUUGACUGGGGCGGUCUCCUCCUAAAGAGUAACGGAGGAGCACGAAGGUUGGCUAAUCCUGGUCGGACAUCAGGAGGUUAGUGCAAUGGCAUAAGCCAGCUUGACUGCGAGCGUGACGGCGCGAGCAGGUGCGAAAGCAGGUCAUAGUGAUCCGGUGGUUCUGAAUGGAAGGGCCAUCGCUCAACGGAUAAAAGGUACUCCGGGGAUAACAGGCUGAUACCGCCCAAGAGUUCAUAUCGACGGCGGUGUUUGGCACCUCGAUGUCGGCUCAUCACAUCCUGGGGCUGAAGUAGGUCCCAAGGGUAUGGCUGUUCGCCAUUUAAAGUGGUACGCGAGCUGGGUUUAGAACGUCGUGAGACAGUUCGGUCCCUAUCUGCCGUGGGCGCUGGAGAACUGAGGGGGGCUGCUCCUAGUACGAGAGGACCGGAGUGGACGCAUCACUGGUGUUCGGGUUGUCAUGCCAAUGGCACUGCCCGGUAGCUAAAUGCGGAAGAGAUAAGUGCUGAAAGCAUCUAAGCACGAAACUUGCCCCGAGAUGAGUUCUCCCUGACCCUUUAAGGGUCCUGAAGGAACGUUGAAGACGACGACGUUGAUAGGCCGGGUGUGUAAGCGCAGCGAUGCGUUGAGCUAACCGGUACUAAUGAACCGUGAGGCUUAACCUUACAACGCCGAAG
rnacentral:rRNA from 1 species